UAUCUCUCCGUACGGGGAAGGAUGAGAAGCUUCGACCAAGGUUCGAUUCGAGCGUCAGCGAGAAAGCGUUGCCGCAGGCAACGACCCGAAGGGUGAGGAGCGGAGCGACGAAUAAUCCUUCCCCCACCACCA
rnacentral:sRNA from 5 species